ensembl:snRNA U6 U6 spliceosomal RNA
UUGCUUUGGCAGCAUAUAUACUAAAAUCAGAACAAUAUAGAGAAGAUUAGCAUGGCCCCUGGGCAAAGAUGACACGCAAAUUCAUGAAGUGUUCCAUAUUUUU